rnacentral:rRNA from 1 species
GAUGAACGCUGGCGGCGUGCCUAAUACAUGCAAGUCGAGCGAACAGACGAGGAGCUUGCUCCUCUGACGUUAGCGGCGGACGGGUGAGUAACACGUGGAUAACCUACCUAUAAGACUGGGAUAACUUCGGGAAACCGGCGCUAAUACCGGAUAAUAUAUUGAACCGCAUGGUUCAAUAGUGAAAGACGGUUUUGCUGUCACUUAUCGAUGGAUCCGCGCCGCAUUAGCUAGUUGGUAAGGUAACGGCUUACCAAGGCGACGAUGCGUAGCCGACCUGAGAGGGGGAUCGGCCACACUGGAACUGAGACACGGUCCAGACUCCUACGGGAGGCAGCAGUAGGGAAUCUUCCGCAAUGGGCGAAAGCCUGACGGAGCAACGCCGCGUGAGUGAUGAAGGUCUUCGGAUCGUAAAACUCUGUUAUUAGGGAAGAACAAAUGUGUAAGUAACUAUGCACGUCUUGACGGUACCUAGUCAGAAAGCCACGGCUAACUACGUG